rnacentral:rRNA from 1 species
GAUGAACGCUGGCGGCGUGCCUAAUACAUGCAAGUCGAGCGAAUGGAUUGAGAGCUUGCUCUUAUGAAGUUAGCGGCGGACGGGUGAGUAACACGUGGGUAACCUGCCCAUAAGACUGGGAUAACUCCGGGAAACCGGGGCUAAUACCGGAUAACAUUUUGAACCGCAUGGUUCGAAAUUGAAAGGCGGCUUCGGCUGUCACUUAUGGAUGGACCCGCGUCGCAUUAGCUAGCUGGUGAGGUAACGGCUCACCAAGGCAACGAUGCGUAGCCGACCUGAGAGGGUGAGCGGCCACACUGGGACUGAGACACGGCCCAGACUCCUACGGGAGGCAGCAGUAGGGAAUCUUCCGCAAUGGACGAAAGUCGGACGGAGCAACGCCGCGUGAGUGAUGAAGGCUUUCGGGUCGUAAAACUCUGUUGUUAGGGAAGAACAAGUGCUAGUUGAAUAAGCUGGCACCUUGACGGUACCUAACCAGAAAGCCACGGCUAACUACGUGCCAGCCGCCGCAGUAA